AUGCGGUCUUUAAGGGAAUGGGCUUGGUGGGAGGAAGGGCGGGUGGUGGGGCGUCCCAGGCAGGGGCUGUUUUGUGGGGGGAAAGCCUGCACAGAUUGUGACCCGGAAACGCAUGUGCGAUGGUGGAAGGAGGACCCGAGGUACGGGGACCCUGGCGUCCAGCCAGUUGGAUGCAGUGGGGACCCGUCACGGAGCCUGGUGAGACACCCAGAAUCCCUGGGCGAGAGGGACACGUUUGCAGUUAGGAACUUACUUUCGUUCCUUUCUCCUCCCGUGCCCCCUGAAAGUUGGAGGAAUGCCUGUUUUCAUUGGCGGCAUCCAGAGUGUCUGCUUGGGGCGUUCCCGCUGAGGCGCUGGUAUCUGCCAGGCAGAGCAGGUGCAGAAGAGCUUUCCUAACACCCGCGGCAUAUCACCACAGGGGUAGAAUGUCAAAGCAGUAGAUAAGUACUGAACAUGCAAUGGGGCGUCGUUUUCAAACACAUUCGUUCUAAGUCUCAUCUUUGAAGUCUGUCCAAAUCUGAACUGACAAGAAAUUACUUUCCUGGAUUUCAUGGAAAUUAUCUCUAAUAUAUUUAAUAAUCACCUCUUACUUGAGCUUGUAUCCAAAUUCAAAUGUCGCCAUGCAUGUUGGCUUCUCAUAACACAGUAACUGUCUUAAGUAUUUGUAAAUAUUGGGUCAUUGAAAUGUCUUUUGCAGGAUUGCCCUGUGACUAGCAGUGUUAAAAAUAAUACUAGCCAGGCCACUACCAAAUUUUUUAUAAGAAUGUAAUAAAAAUACUGUGAGUCAUUGUAGGAGAUACAAACAAGUGUUGUGACUUUUUUAAAUACUAGCGGUUGCAUACUAUGAAGACAGUUUGAGAAGAAAUACAUUCAAAUGUAAACCUUCAGCAUAUUUAAAAGCCAAAGCAAUGACACCUUUUUUUUUUUUUUUUUUUUUCUUGCUUUUUUUCCCCCUUAAUGGCUGGCCCCUGAGGUCUCUGGAAGUUCCUGGGCCAGGAAUUGAAUCUGAGCUGAAGCUGGGACCUAUGCAUGUACCUGUGGCCACACUGGAUCCUUUAAGCCACUGUGCCCGGCAGGUGAUUGAAGCUGUGACUCUGCAGCGACCUGAGGCACUGCAGUGUGAUCCUUAAUCCACUGUGCCACAGCAGCAACCCCACAAUGGCACCUUUUGGGAAAUUAGAGACUUUCAUUUCAAAUACACUUUCUUCUGAUAAAUCAAAAUACGAAGGCCUUUAGACUCAUAUUGUAUAUCUCUAUUCAAUUGAUAAAUUAGGACAUCUAUAAUUUUAAUUAAUCACAACGCC
rnacentral:lncRNA from 9 species